CCGAGGCGCAAAAGUGGCCUCAGAGGCGAGCCCUCGCGACGGAAAGAGGGCGCGCGCACCCCAGCCCGUCCGCGCCCGUCGUCUUGCCGGGGCGGUUCGCCGAGAGAAAACUUCCUUUGCGACUUACGUGGGUCUCCGGGACGCAAACGCGUGUCUUGGAACAGAAAACGAAAAAGCCGUGACCGAAGCAAGAAGGCAAAUAGGAAAGGAUGCUAUUGUAUCGUCAACAAAAGAGAAAUGGAAACCAAUCGUGAUAAGUAAUUUUGUUCCAGUGUUUUAGACUACCUGAUCUCGUGUAUAUCAUUUUCAUGGAAGUAAAUCUUGUUUAGUACAACUAGAAUUCUUCCCAACAGAGGAUGCCCAGAAUAACAUAUCUGAUGUUUUCACCUAUGGAUGCCUUCAUACACCCUCCUUUCUACAGUAUUAUCUUCUUGGACACUAAAGCAGACCCUUUGUCCCCCCCCCUUUUGGUACUAUCAUGGGUCUGAUGCUACAAUUAUCAAAUUGUCAUGAUAGGUAUAGGUUCUUUCGUUCCUACAUUCCUCUGUAAAUCCAUGGAAACUUUGUCACAA